CCUACGGGAGGCAGCAGUGGGGAAUAUUGCACAAUGGAGGGAACCCUGAUGCCGCGACGCCGCGUGGGUGAAGAAGCGCCUCGGCGCGUAAAGCCCUGUCUGCAGGGAAGAAAAUGACGGUACCUGAAGAAGAAUCCCAGGCUAACUACGAGCCGGCAGCCGUGGUAAUACGUAGGGUGCAGGCGUUAUCCGGAUUUACUGGGUGUAAAGGGGGCGCAGACGGUGAUGCAAGCCAGGAGUGAAAGCCCGGGGCGCAACCCCGGGACUGCUUUUGGAACUGCGUGGCUGGAGUGCAGGAGGGGCAGGCGGAAUUCCUGGUGGAGCGGUGAAAUGCGUAGAUAUCAGGAGGAACACCGGUGGCGAAGGCGGCCUGCUGGACUGCAACUGACGUUGAGGCCCGAAAGCGUGGGGAGCAAACAGGAUUAGAUACCCGGGUAGUC
rnacentral:rRNA from 1 species